AGUGAACGCUGGCGGUAGGCCUAACACAUGCAAGUCGAACGGCAGCACAGUAAGAGCUUGCUCUUACGGGUGGCGAGUGGCGGACGGGUGAGGAAUACAUCGGAAUCUACUUUUUCGUGGGGGAUAACGUAGGGAAACUUACGCUAAUACCGCAUACGACCUACGGGUGAAAGCAGGGGAUCUUCGGACCUUGCGCGAUUGAAUGAGCCGAUGUCGGAUUAGCUAGUUGGCGGGGUAAAGGCCCACCAAGGCGACGAUCCGUAGCUGGUCUGAGAGGAUGAUCAGCCACACUGGAACUGAGACACGGUCCAGACUCCUACGGGAGGCAGCAGUGGGGAAUAUUGGACAAUGGGCGCAAGCCUGAUCCAGCCAUACCGCGUGGGUGAAGAAGGCCUUCGGGUUGUAAAGCCCUUUUGUUGGGAAAGAAAAGCAGCAGGUUAAUACCCCGCUGUUCUGACGGGACCCAAAGAAUAAGCACCGGCGAACUUCGU
rnacentral:rRNA from 1 species